rnacentral:rRNA from 1 species
UACGUAGGGUGCAAGCGUUGCCCGGAAUCACUGGGCGUAAAGGGUGCGUAGGCGGGUAUUUAAGUCAGGGGUGAAAUCCUGGAGCUCAACUCCAGAACUGCCUUUGAUACUGAAGAUCUUGAGUUCGGGAGAGGUGAGUGGAACUGCGAGUGUAGAGGUGAAAUUCGUAGAUAUUCGCAAGAACACCAGUGGCGAAGGCGGCUCACUGGCCCGAUACUGACGCUGAGGCACGAAAGCGUGGGGAGCAAACAGG